rnacentral:tRNA from 1 species
GCGGGGGUCGCCUAGCCUGGCCAAUGGCGGUGGGCUCAAGACCCACUGGGUUAGUCCCGUCGUGGGUUCGAAUCCCACCCCCCGCA